rnacentral:rRNA from 1 species
UACGGGGGGGGCAAGCGUUGUUCGGAAUUACUGGGCGUAAAGGCUCGUAGGCGGCCAACUAAGUCAGACGUGAAAUCCCUCGGCUUAACCGGGGAACUGCGUCUGAUACUGGUUGGCUUGAAUCCGGGAGAGGGAUGUGGAAUUCCAGGUGUAGCGGUGAAAUGCGUAGAUAUCUGGAGGAACACCGGUGGCGAAGGCGGCAUCCUGGACCGACAUUGACGCUGAGGUGCGAAAGCGUGGGGAGCGAACAGG